rnacentral:lncRNA from 1 species
UCCUCUGAGGAAUGAGUGAAGCAACAUCAAAGGGAAAACUGCUCCUUCCAACUGAUAGUCAGUAAGCAAUGGCGUUUUCUUUGUAAGUGCUGCCGGGGGCUUGCAUAAUAUAUGUUAUAAAUAAGCCUCCUUCAGAUAUCAAUCAGCUUGUCUGGCUGCUCAAAUAAAAACUAUACGCACCUGACGAGAAGAUUUAUACCUUACAUGCACCUCAAAGGAACAGCGAACAAUGCACCUCCAGAAUUUCCACAUUGGCGCUCGUAAACACCGGUAACAGUUAAAGGAUCAACAUAUUCAGAACUCUAGCAUCAGCUAACUAGUUUGAGAGAGUUCAACAAUUCACGGAGUUGGAGACCUAGUCAAACAGUCCUGAAAGAAUUCGUAAAUGCAAGCGAUAAGGAUUUGAUACAAUGGUCUGAUCGGGAUGGCUUAGAGGGUUGAUGGAGUAAAAAACAGAGAGAGCGGUGAACAAGUACAUAACAUAAGGGACAAACGAGGAGCAUUUGGCAUACCUUUUGCAGCAGCAGCGUGGCAAAGCUUCCUCCCGGACGACGACGACGACGACGACGACGACGACGAUUGAGGAUGAGACUUUUAUUGGCAGGGUUCGGGGGGAUGGGGAUGAGGAUUUAGGAUCAGUGAACUGCUGUCUGCUGAUGACGAGUGGGGUGCCUCUCGGAAGUCGGAACGAAUCUGAGCGGGAGAGAACCUCCCGCCUCCCGGCCCCUCUUUUUCGUUUUUGAGGGAGUGGGCUUAAUUUUGGCCCGGGCUCCUCGAAA